rnacentral:rRNA from 1 species
UACGGGGGGGGCAAGCGUUGUUCGGAAUUACUGGGCGUAAAGGGCUCGUAGGCGGCCAACUAAGUCGGACGUGAAAUCCCUCGGCUCAACCGAGGAACUGCGUCCGAUACUGGAUGGCUUGAGUUCGGGAGAGGGAUGCGGAAUUCCAGGUGUAGCGGUGAAAUGCGUAGAUAUCUGGAGGAACACCGGUGGCGAAGGCGGCAUCCUGGACCGACACUGACGCUGAGUGAGCGAAAGCCAGGGGAGCAAACGGG